rnacentral:rRNA from 1 species
AUGGAGGCCAUCUCUCUCGCCGUUCGGAGUGGGACAAAGGCCGGCAUGGAGAUGGAGGUCGAGCAGAUCCUCUCCUUCGCCACAAACUAUGUGAACAACAACGCCGAUUUGGCCUGCCAUGUCCUCGUGCAGAACAGGAUACCAGCCGACGCUGUUCUCGAGGCGGCCAUGAAAACAUGGCUAAUGGCAAGAGAGAAGGUGUAUGCUACCCUGCUGGAGCAGCUACUCACCUCCUUCGCUAAUCCAUUGGAGGACACCCAGCUGAGGGAGUGGGAGUGCCCCCCCAAACCCCAAUAUUCUGUCACCGAGAAGAGAGGCGGUCGAAGACAGGACCCCAAAUGCCCCUUCUUUCUCAUCAAUGUGAAGGUGUCGACCAAGACGGCGCAGAUAUCGUGGUCGAUGAAGAAGCAUCCCCGCUUCCCCCGGGAGCGAGCGAUGCACGAUGCUUUACGUGUCGCACGCCUGGGCACAGGAACUCAGGGAUUUCAUGUAGAGCAGGCAGGGGAAGGCGGGCAGCCAGGUGCCCUCUCCUACUUCAUGGAUGCCACAUACAGUGGGUGGCCGCGGCCCAAGGAGGGUAUCUUCGAGGAAGGCUCUUCUGUGCCUCUCAGGGAUGUCGCUGUUAUCAAGAGGUUGCCUGGUGGUGAGGGGAUUUCUGUCAUGUCCUAUGUUCAUGGACUUGGUGUUAAGCUUGAUGACAUCCUCUUUGUGUUGCACGUCCCGGCCGUCUGCCGCAAUGCCCCUGAGAUUUACCGAGCAGAGGAGCAAGACAAAAAUAUUGAGCGUGAGAAACAUGAUCAUCAGGGGAGUGAGGAGCUGGUGUGCAGCCCAGAGGAGUUCAUGCUCCAAAGACAUGAGCAAGAGGGGGAGAAGCUGGAGCGCCUGCGGAGGAGAAGGGAGGACAGCAAAAAACAUAGAGAUCUACGCAAGGAAAUGAAGGAGGCUGUUCAUCGGAUGAAUGGUAUAGCAAGGACUUCAGAAGAAGAAGAAGAGCAGCAUGAGGAGGAGUAUGACCCAAUGCUUCCGCCGUACCUGUUUCAGGAAGAAUGUGGUCUGGUGAAACCAUUGGAAGAGCUGUGCCAAAUGCGCGUCUCCUUCGUGGUUGUGCCAUGGCAACUGAAGUUUCUUGUGGAGCACAAUAUGUGCUGGUUGCUUCGGUGGACGAAGACCUUGACUGAUCAAGCUUAG